UACGGGAGGCAGCAGUAGGGAAUCUUCCGCAAUGGACGAAAGUCUGACGGAGCAACGCCGCGUGAACGAUGAAGGCUUUCGGGUCGUAAAGUUCUGUUGUUAGGGAAGAACAAGUACCAGAGUAACUGCUGGUACCUUGACGGUACCUAACCAGAAAGCCACGGCUAACUACGUGCCAGCAGCCGCGGUAAUACGUAGGUGGCAAGCGUUGUCCGGAAUUAUUGGGCGUAAAGCGCGCGCAGGUGGUCCUUUUAAGUCUGAUGUGAAAGCCCACGGCUCAACCGUGGAGGGUCAUUGGAAACUGGGGGACUUGAGUGCAGAAGAGGAAAGUGGAAUUCCACGUGUAGCGGUGAAAUGCGUAGAGAUGUGGAGGAACACCAGUGGCGAAGGCGACUUUUCUGGUCUGUAACUGACACUGAGGCGCGAAAGCGUGGGGAGCGAACAGGGAUUAGAUACC
rnacentral:rRNA from 1 species